rnacentral:rRNA from 1 species
CCCUUAGAUGUUCUGGGCCGCACGCGCGCUACACUGAUGCAUUCAACGAGCCUAUCCUUGACCGACAGGUCCGGGUAAUCUUUGAAUCUGCAUCGUGACGGGGAUUGAUUAUUGCAAUUAUUAAUCUUCAACGAGGAAUGCCUAGUAGGCGCAAGUCAUCAGCUUGCGUCGAUUACGUCCCUGCCCUUUGUACACACCGCCCGUCGCUCCUACCGAUUGGGUGUGCUGGUGAAAUGUUCGGAUCGGCCGUUUGUCGCGGUUUCCGCGUCAUGUGGCUGAGAAGUUCAUUAAACCCUCCCACCUAGAGGAAGGAGAAGUCGUAACA